rnacentral:rRNA from 1 species
UACGUAGGGCGCAAGCGUUGUCCGGAAUUAUUGGGCGUAAAGAGCUCGUAGGCGGCCUGUUGCGUCCGCUGUGAAAUCCCGGGGCUCAACCCCGGGCCUGCAGUGGAUACGGGCUGGCUAGAGGCAGGCAGGGGAGAACGGAAUUCCUGGUGUAGCGGUGAAAUGCGCAGAUAUCAGGAGGAACACCGGUGGCGAAGGCGGCUAUCUGGCUCACAACUGACGAUCAGGCACGAAAGCGUGGGGAGCAAACAGG